CCUACGGGAGGCAGCAGUGGGGAAUAUUGGACAAUGGGCGAAAGCCUGAUCCAGCCAUGCCGCGUGUGUGAAGAAGGUCUUCGGAUUGUAAAGCACUUUAAGUUGGGAGGAAGGGUUGUAGAUUAAUACUCUGCAAUUUUGACGUUACCGACAGAAUAAGCACCGGCUAACUCUGUGCCAGCAGCCGCGGUAAUACAGAGGGUGCAAGCGUUAAUCGGAAUUACUGGGCGUAAAGCGCGCGUAGGUGGUUUGUUAAGUUGGAUGUGAAAUCCCCGGGCUCAACCUGGGAACUGCAUCCAAAACUGGCAAGCUAGAGUAUGGUAGAGGGUGGUGGAAUUUCCUGUGUAGCGGUGAAAUGCGUAGAUAUAGGAAGGAACACCAGUGGCGAAGGCGACUCACUGGCCCAUUACUGACGCUGAGGCUCGAAAGCGUGGGGAGCAAACAGGAUUAGAUACCCUGGUAGUCCACGACCGUAACGAUAGAGUGCUAGUUGUCGGCGAUGCAUGCAUGUCGGUGACGCGAGCGUACGACGAGUUAAGUAACGACCGUCCGUUCCGUUCGGGGUAGGGUUACGGGUUCCGGCGAAGAGUUAAAACGUUUAAAAGUUAGUUAGUUAGACGGCGUUGAGACGUUGCCGACGGACGACGACGAGGGGAGGUAGG
rnacentral:rRNA from 1 species